UACGGAGGGUGCGAGCGUUAAUCGGAAUAACUGGGCGUAAAGGGUGAGUAGGUGGCAAUACAAGUUAGUUGUGAAAUCUCUGGGCUUAACCUGGAGCGGUCAACUAAGACUGUAUAGCUAGAGUAUAGUAGAGGGUAGUGGAAUUUCCGGUGUAGCGGUGAAAUGCGUAGAGAUCGGAAGGAACAUCAGUGGCGAAGGCGGCUACCUGGACAGAUACUGACACUGAGUCACGAAAGCGUGGGGAGCAAACAGG
rnacentral:rRNA from 1 species